CCUAUCCUAUCCUAUCCCUUCAGCUCUCUGUUCCCAGGAUGGGCCCAAAUUUUCUCCUGUGCUGUGUAGAUGGAUAAGAAAGAGAUACAGGGAAACUAAUGGUACUAGGGACAGUAAAAUGAAUGCAUACUCUGUGAAGAAGUUAAAUAACCAAUUGAAGAAAAACAACUAAAAUGUGUAAAAAAGAAGUUUCAGCACUGAUGUUGCCACAGCCUCCCCUCUCCAAAAAAAGAUGCUUAGUUGUCUGGAAAUAGCAACAUGCCAGUCAUAAAGCUCAAAGCCCAGUUUCUUAUUCCCAUCAGUGAGAAAUCAGCAGUUUUAUGGCUUUGAUAUCUACCUCUGCAUGUCAGUAAAUUAGUAGCCAAACUAUGUGAACCAUGAUUCAGACACACAUCUGUACUAUUGAUUUCUUCAUCAUCCUGUGUUUACUUAUUUUAUUAAAUGAAUUGAGUAUCUAAUAGAUACUCAUAAUUGCUAAUUAACCUUUUGCACUAGUGUGCAAAUGCAUCAUACAUACAUAUAUACAUAUCUGCAUAUAUAUGUACAUAUAUACACAUAUUAUAUAUGUAUAUAUUUACUUUUCCAUUAUAUAUGUACUUAACUCCUCUUUUUCUAUCACAUUGACUAAUCUAGUACUCGGCACCAAAUGUGUACUUUGGGACAUACAUUUUAAUGUAUAACAAUAUCUUACAUUUGUAGAAUAUUUUUUAGAGAACUGCUGCCAGAAUUGAAUGAGACGAUGAGCUAUUUAUAAUUUCUCUCCCAAAGAGCAAACAAAUCUCCUUCAAAUCUUUCAAAACCUAAAUUGCAUUCUGAUUCCUCACAAAUUUAACAUAAUAAACUCAUUCCCUUCCCAUCUCCUGGCUGUCCCUUCUUCAGAGUUCUUUAUUCCUCUGCUAGCAGGAGUAUGCAUUUCUGCUUUCAGUGAUGCUUUCCUACAUUUUUCUGUUGAUUGAAAUACUCUUUGGAGACUUUCUUUGAACUCCCUUUUUUAUUUUCCCUUUUGACUUCUUGAUUCCAUUUCCUCCGAGAUCAGAUUCUCUGCUAUUUCCUCCUGGGCCUCCUUACUGCGGCUCUCCUGGGGAACCCUCUAUUCUGGGGAUGGGAGGUGGUAGCCCUUUUCUUUCUGACCCGUCUUUCCUCAUGUUGCCUCUGUUUCUUCCCUUUCAUCUCCUGUGGCUCUCACACAACUUAUUUUUAAAAUAAAAUAGACCUUGUUUGUCUCAUUCCUCAACAGGAGCUAGCUUCCCACCUCCCCUGCCCCUAACUUGUCUUGCUCUAUGUAUUAUUCACCUCAGCUUCUUUAUUUUGCUAUUGUGGAAUCAAUUCCAUCAACAACCUGAA
rnacentral:lncRNA from 1 species